rfam:Anolis carolinensis chromosome 2, whole genome shotgun sequence.
UUAUAUGUACCCUGUAGAAUCGAAUUUGUGUGAGCACCUCAAUCACAAAUUCGUCUCUAGGGGAGUAUAUGGA